GAGUACGUAAGGAACAGGAAAGAUAAGCCGCUAUCAAA
rnacentral:rRNA from 1 species